rnacentral:rRNA from 1 species
CCUACGGGAGGCAGCAGUGAGGAAUAUUGGUCAAUGGCCGCAGGGCUGAACCAGCCAAGUCGCGUGAGGGAUGACGGUCCUAUGGAUUGUAAACCUCUUUUGUCAGGGAGCAAAGGGCGCCACGUGUGGCGCUUUGCGAGUACCUGAAGAAAAAGCAUCGGCUAACUCCGUGCCAGCAGCCGCGGUAAUACGGAGGAUGCGAGCGUUAUCCGGAUUUAUUGGGGUUAAAGGGUGCGCAGGCGGAAUGUCAAGUCAGCGGUAAAAUUUCGGGGCUCAACCCCGUCGUGCCGUUGAGACUGGCGUUCUUGAGUGAGCGAGAAGUAUGCGGAAUGCGUGGUGUAGCGGUGAAAUGCAUAGAUAUCACGCAGAACUCCGAUUGCGAAGGCAGCAUACCGGCGCUCAACUGACGCUCAUGCACGAAAGCGUGGGUAUCGAACAGGAUUAGAUACCCGAGUAGUC